UACAGAGGGUGCAAGCGUUAUUCGGAAUUACUGGGCGUAAAGCGCAUGUAGGUGGAGGAUCAAGUCAGGUGUGAAAUCCCGGAGCUCAACUCCGGAACUGCAUUUGAAACUGAUUUUCUUGAGUCUGAGAGAGGGAAGCGGAAUUCCUGGUGUAGAGGUGAAAUUCGUAGAUAUCAGGAGGAACACCGGAGGCGAAGGCGGCUUCCUGGACCAGCACUGACACUGAGAUGCGAAAGCGUGGGGAGCAAACAGG
rnacentral:rRNA from 1 species